GAUGAACGCUGGCGGCGUGCUUAACACAUGCAAGUCGAGCGAUGAAGUUUCCUUCGGGAAACGGAUUAGCGGCGGACGGGUGAGUAACACGUGGGUAACCUGCCUCAUAGAGUGGAAUAGCCUUCCGAAAGGAAGAUUAAUACCGCAUAACGUUGAAAGAUGGCAUCAUCAUUUAACCAAAGGAGCAAUCCGCUAUGAGAUGGACCCGCGGCGCAUUAGCUAGUUGGUGGGGUAACGGCCUACCAAGGCGACGAUGCGUAGCCGACCUGAGAGGGUGAUCGGCCACAUUGGGACUGAGACACGGCCCAGACUCCUACGGGAGGCAGCAGUGGGGAAUAUUGCACAAUGGGGGAAACCCUGAUGCAGCAACGCCGCGUGAGUGAUGAAGGUUUUCGGAUCGUAAAGCUCUGUCUU
rnacentral:rRNA from 1 species